AUUGAACGCUGGCGGCAUGCCUAACACAUGCAAGUCGAACGGCAGCGCGGGGAGCUUGCCCUCUGGCGGCGAGUGGCGGACGGGUGAGUAACGCGUAGGAAUCUGCCCAGUAGUGGGGGACAACCCGGGGAAACCCGGGCUAAUACCGCAUACGCCCUACGGGGAAAGCGGGGACCGUUCGGCCUUGUGCUACUGGAUGAGCCUGCGUCGGAUUAGCUUGUUGGUGGGGUAAUGGCUCACCAAGGCGACGAUCCGUAGCUGGUCUGAGAGGACGACCAGCCACACUGGGACUGAGACACGGCCCAGACUCCUACGGGAGGCAGCAGUGGGGAAUCUUGCGCAAUGGGCGAAAGCCUGACGCAGCGACGCCGCGUGAGGGAUGACGGCCUCGG
rnacentral:rRNA from 1 species